rnacentral:rRNA from 1 species
AAACUUUCAACAACGGAUCUCUUGGUUCCGGCAUCGAUGAAGAACGCAGCGAAAUGCGAUAAGUAAUGUGAAUUGCAGAAUUCCGUGAAUCAUCGAAUCUUUGAACGCACAUUGCGCCCCCUGGCAUUCCGGGGGGCAUGCCUGUCC